rnacentral:rRNA from 1 species
GGACGAACGCUGGCGGCGUGCCUAAAACAUGCAAGUCGAACGGGGGAGCAAUCCCCAGUGGCGAACGGCGGAGUAAUACAUGAACAACGUGCCCUGAAGACCGGGAUAGUCAGUGGAAACGCUGGGUAAUACCGGAUGUGGCCGUCUUGUGGCAUCACGAGACGAUUAAAUGGUUUUUCGCUUCAGGAGCGGUUCAUGGCCUAUCAGGUAGUUGGUGAGGUAACGGCUCACCAAGCCUACGACGGGUAGCGGGUCUGAGAGGACGAUCCGCUCGAGUGGGACUGAGACACGGCCCACACACCUACGGGUGGCAGCAGUUGGGAAUCUUGCACAAUGGGGGAAACCCUGAUGCAGCGACGCCGCGUGGAGGACGAAGGAUCUAGGUCUGUAAACUCCUUUUUCACGGAAAGACUUAGGACGGUACCGUGAGAAUAAGCCCCGGCUAACUACGUGCCAGCAGCCGCGGUAAGACGUAGGGGGCGAGCGUUGUCCGGAUUUACUGGGCGUAAAGAGCGCGUAGGCGGCUCGUUAAGUGUGAAGUGAAAUCUCCAGGGCUCAACCCGGAAACUGCUUCGCAUACUGGCGAGCUUGAGGAAUGCAGAGGUAAGUAGAAUUCCUGGUGUAGCGGUGAAAUGCGUAGAUAUCAGGAGGAAUACCGACGGCGAAGGCAGCUUACUGGGCAUUAUCUGACGCUGAGGCGCGAAAGCGUGGGUAGCAAACAGGAUUAGAUACCCUGGUAGUCCACGCCCUAAACGAUGGAUACUAGACGUAAGAGGUAUCGACCCCUCUUGUGUCGCAGCUAACG